UGUAGCAAACAACCUAGUAAGGAAAACUAGCCUGGGAGCCAACCCGGGCUGGAAAAAUGAAGUUAAAGGAAACUCUCUCGGCAGCAUGCUGCUAAUACCUUGCUAUCUCUUGCUGAGUGCACCUGGCUGAUGCCAUCGUUGAAAGACAAAUAAGAACACAUGGAGAAUGUGACUUUCAGGGGAUGAACUGGCCGCAGAAGCCUGGAAGGAACUCCCUGCCAGCAGGAGACAGACUCUGGCUUCCCGGGGCUUUGAAAAAGGCCUGGCUCUGCCCAGGAUGCUGCGAGAUGGCGGGGAAACGCUGGACUGAGAACCGGAGACCUGGCUUGAGAUCCCAGUUCUGCCCUGAACUAGUUGAUUUUACAGACGGGAAUAGCUGGAUCUACAGACGUUCUGUAAUUAUUACAAAAUUAAACGAAUACGGCAGGCUA